GGCCAAUGGUUCAGCACUUUCUUUAGAUAAGAUUUUUACAAUCUUUCUUUCCUUCUGGAGAUUAUCAAUUAAUAGCUAGAAUCCUCUGACUGUUGCUUUCUAUGCAAAAGAGAAAUGCCUUGGAAGGAAUUUCGUCUUCCAAAUGAUCUUCCAAGUAAAGUUGAAUUCACCAUCAACCAAUUUUCCCUUGCCCAAAGCUCAAUAGAAAGACAACAUGAAACAAA
rnacentral:misc_RNA from 1 species